rnacentral:sRNA from 1 species
AUCCACUCGCCCAAAAAUUUGUACUAAUCCAAUCUUGAACUCCAGCCACAUUCUGGCCAAGUCGUGCUACAAGACCGUCUGACCCAAUGGACAUCCAGAGUGGUUUUGCAUCUUCUUUGAAAAAUAACUGAGCAACGGGUUUUCGGGCGCGAGUACAAGGUCUGCUAGCUUGUUGACUAAAGUUACUAGAUAGCAAUCUCUGCCUACUUCAGGGGUAACUAGAAGGCUAUUAUAUUAUUAGAGAUGAUUUGAGGCAAGCUCCCUCUCCUACCCUCAAACCAUCUCUUACUAUAUAGUUCAUCAUCACUUCUAUUUGCAGCUAAUGAAUACUUGAUAAUUACUUGUAUUUUUCUUUAUUGAUAUUAUUCUAAAAUACUAUAUUCUCCAACAGAAUAUUGAAUAAAAUAUAUUGAAUAUUUUUAGAUUUACUAGUAUAUAACAGAUCAUAGUGAGUGUGGUGGGUACUCUUAAGAAUGGGAAGCAAGUGCAGCAAGUGAUGGAUACUUGUUUAUCUCAAGAAGAAAUCUUUUCAACAUAUUCCUUACAGUGUCUGAUAAAGUGAAUUUAGUUUGUUAGCAACAGAGUUACAUUAUCAACAGUAAAUAUAAUUAACCAGUUAAUUAGCAGCACAUAUGUAAAUCAACCGUAUCGGUUUAUCUAGGCUGCAAAUUUCUAAAAAGUAUACAGUAGUUAUGUUUAGGACAGCAGGGCACAUCUCUUUCAUAAAAUGCUUGACAAAUGAUAAAAUCAUAUAAAAUCUAAUUCUCAAAACCAAAAAGAGGCCCAGAGACAGGAUCACCACGAAUGAGAAUGUUGAAACUCUGCAUAUUGCAGAGGUAAGAACCUGGAAGAUUGGCCGAUCGAAUCAAAACGAUGAAUGGC